GAAGAAUUGGUAUACUUCUUGAUGUUCAUUUAAAAUUCCAUCCAUUGAAGUCUGAGUUCCGUGAGAAACAGAAUCAGAACUCUUGCCAAUUGGACUGCAAGAUGUCUUCAUCUACGUAUGCUGUCAUAAAAAACACUAUGGACUAUGGGGCAAGAAAAAUGUAAUAUUUUUCUCUCACGGUUUUGGAGACUGGAAAGUUCAAGUGUCCAGCAGGGCUCAUUUUGUGUUGGGGGCUCUCUUUCUGGCAUGCAGAUGCUUCCUUCUCGCUGUGUCCUCGCAUGGUGGCAAGAGAGCAACCUCAGGUGUCUCUUUCUCUUUCAAAGGACACCAGUUCUCUCAGAUCAGGGCUUCACCGUUAUGAUCUCUCUUAAUCUUAAUCUGUCCUUCAAGGUCAUAUUUCCAACAUAGUCACACGGAGGCUUAGGGCUUUUAACAUACACGUAUGAAUUUUGGGGGACACCAUUCAGUCCAUAGCAAAAGGCCAGCUUCUGAUAUUCCCACAUCAGUCAGUGAUUGGAUAUAGACCAAUGGGAAUGUGUGAUAAUCCUUGGAUCAUCUGAGGCAAUCUCCAAAAAGGCUGAAAACCGAGGGCUGCCUACCGCUGGCACUCUGAGCAGCAUACACCACAUGCUCCAUCAGUGUUACUGCCCUCAGCUGGGGAGAACCCCCCUCACACAAGUUGUGAUACCUUCCUAGAGGCAGCCUGCAUUCAAUGACAGCUUGAGAGGGGCGUAAAGGGCCAGCCACUCUGACCUGAUUCAGGACAAUUCUGCAAGGCUCUCCAAGCUCCAGAAUUCCUAUACUGUUUCCUGAACCUUUGUUGUCACCGUUUCCCAAACUACUUUUCUUUUUGUCAAUCCUGACCCUUUCCCUCUCCUACUACAGAUGUUGGUCACUCGAAUACUCGCAGCACACUUCUAUGAAUGAAUCUUUGUCUCAGAGAUUGCUCCCCAAGGAACCCAGUCAGUGCCAUCGGAAAUCAAAACAUUUAUUUAUUUAUUUUAAAAAUAUGUAAAUAAAAUGAUUAUUUUCACCAUUUUAAUGUACAAGUUAGUGAUCAUUACACAUUUAAUACUUGCAUGAAAACAUCACAUUUACCGCAUAAAUAUGGACAACUAUUAUGCAUCUAUUAUAAUUAAAAAUAAAACAUUUAUAAAUGAGAACAUACUGGAAAUGUGUAGUCAUGAUGGUGGCACCAUCUUAUGUUUUUAAAUUAAGAAUUUUGGAGCAGGAAAUGUUUUCUGUCUGUACCUAGGUCUUUACAUAUCAGAAAAUUUCAUAAAAGACCAGAAUAAAAGUAGCCAUACAAAAUACAACCACAAAAUAUGUAUUAAAUAGCCUACCAAAAUGCCACAAUGUAUCAUUAUAAUCACUAUUAAAUAUUUAUUAUGCAACAGUAUCAUUUAUGCAAUAGGAUUUUUUAUAAACCAGCAAUUUGCACUUUGAAAUUCAAUUUCAGUGAAUCACAAGCUUAAAAAUUGAAAUUCAAAUUAAGCAUUUCCUUUAUUCAAAGUCAUAUAUCAUAUUGAAAAUAAUCUGUAUUUUUAUUGCAAAAGAACACUUUAAGAAAACCCUAGAGAAUUGUUUGACCUAAUAAUUGUAAUUGUGCAUGUAUUUCUUAAUAUUAUUGAUUAAAUUUAUAUUUAGCCAUUUCUCUCAGCUAUAUAUAGUUACAGCAAAGCUAUUUUGCAUCAACAUAUAUGUCUCCCUAACUAUGAUAAAGAAUAUGGUAAUGAUGUUGUAAAUUGAUUGGAAAAGAUGAUCUAUCAAUUCUUUUGCAGCUUCCGAAUUCCAA
rnacentral:lncRNA from 1 species